rnacentral:rRNA from 1 species
CCUGAAAAAUAGGCAUAGGGGGUCCUGCCUGCCCAGUGACUGAAAAGUUAAACGGCCGCGGUAUCUUGACCGUGCGAAGGUAGCAUAAUCAUUUGUCUCCUAAAUAGAGACUGGUAUGAAUGGCAAGACGGAGCUUCACUGUCUCCUCCUCUUUAAUCUGAACUUCACAUUCCCGUGAAGAGGCGAGAAUUAGUUCGUAAGACGAGAAGACCCUGUCGAGCUGUAGCUAAAUUUUAAUUGUUGUUUACUAUUAGCCCUAACUAAUUAUAAUAAGAGUAGCAGGCCUAAAGCAUGACAAAUUAAAACAAGCUUUGAUUGGGGCAAUCCCGGAGAAAGAAAAUCCUCCGCUACUAUAUGGUUAUAUUAACCUAAAAUAAAAGAAUUAUUUUUCUUAAAUCAUAAAAAUGAAGGUAUGAUCCACUUACAGUGAUCAAAAGAACAAG